rnacentral:rRNA from 1 species
UACGUAGGGUGCUAGCGUUGUUCGGAAUCAUUGGGCGUAAAGCGCGUGUAGGCGGUUAGUUAAGUCGGGUGUGAAAUCCCUGGGCUCAACCGAGGAAGUGCAUCCGAAACUAACUAGCUAGAGAAUGGUAGAGGAAGGUGGAAUUCCGUGUGUAGAGGUGAAAUUCGUAGAUAUACGGAGGAAUACCGGUGGCGAAGGCGGCCUCUGGACCAUUUCUGACGCUGAGACGCGGAAGCGUGGGGGAGCAAACAGG